UGAGCAACCUGCCCUUGACCCUGGAAUAACAGCUGGAAACAGCUGCUAAUACCGGAUACGACCUCUGAUGGCAUCAUCUGGAGGUGGAAAGCUCCGGCGGUCAAGGAUGGGCUCGCGGCCUAUCAGCUUGUUGGUGAGGUAACGGCUCACCAAGGCAACGAUGCGUAGCCGACCUGAGAGGGUGAUCGGCCACAUUGGAACUGAGACACGGUCAGA
rnacentral:rRNA from 1 species